rnacentral:misc_RNA from 1 species
CCAGGUGGAAAACAGAGGCCAUUGAGAAAUGUGACGUGAUGGUGUAUACAAAGAUUUUCCUCAAGUUCCCAUAUAAGUUCUGGCCGUGCGCACCCGGAAAAGAAUUCUUUAUUUACGCCCAUGAAAGAAGGGGCUAUUACACGUUUUGGCAGAACAUGGAGAAUGCCUAUCCUGGGUCUAAUAUCCUGGUGGUGACAAUUACGAAUGGAGAAUCAAAACGAAUCGAAGCUCAAUCUGAUGAAGAAACAUUGAAAGAAUCCAUGGAAGUGCUUAGGGAUAUGUUCGGACCCGACAUCCCUGAUGCUAUUGACAUACUUGUUCCUCGCUGGUGGAGUAACAGGUUCCAACGUGGUAGCUAUAGUAACUACCCCAUCAUCUCAGAUUGCCAAGUUGUUCAAAACAUUAAGGAACCGAUAGGACGCAUCUACUUCACUGGAGAACACACAAGCGAAAGAUUUAAUGGCUAUGUACAUGGUGGAUAUCUUGCAGGCAUAGACACAAGCAAUGCCUUGUUGGAAGAAAUGAGGAAAGAUAAGGAGAGAAAAAGUGAUGGCCAAUCAUUCUUGUUAGAACCCUUACUAGCUCUAACAGGAUCAUUGACUUUGACACAAACAGAGGCUGUCUCAGGCCUUCACAAAUGUGAUCUUCCUACACAAUUGUACCUUAACGGCAAGCUCGGUAUCCAGGAAGCGAUUUUAUGACUACAUGGACGACAUGUUGAGGAACAUAGAUCUCGUUUGUACGUUGAAGAAAACAUGGUGGGUGACAGAGAUGAUGAGAAGAUGAAUUUGAAUUCGAACUCGAUUUGAGACUCGAAACCAUCCAUGAAGAAGAAUGCAUGAAAUGAAGCAGGGAGAUAGGUGAAGGAAAAUAAAGUUAUGAGAUGAUGAUCUUCAUAGAAAUCAAGGUGUGCCCACUUGUCUAAUUGUUGAAGGGUUUACUAUUAAUAUGGUGCUUUAGUUCUAGAAAUUAUUUUGUUGAUGAAAAGGUUCAAGAGGAAUUGGUGGGGGGAAAUAUAUUGGAUUUGCUAAUUGUAUUGUUACUGAUCUUUUAAUACAAG